AUUGAACGCUGGCGGCAUGCUUUACACAUGCAAGUCGAACGGCAGCGCGGGCUUCGGCCUGGCGGCGAGUGGCGAACGGGUGAGUAAUGCAUCGGAACGUGCCCAGUAGUGGGGGAUAGCCCGGCGAAAGCCGGAUUAAUACCGCAUACGACCUGAGGGUGAAAGCGGGGGACCGAAAGGCCUCGCGCUAUUGGAGCGGCCGAUGUCGGAUUAGCUAGUUGGUGGGGUAAAGGCUUACCAAGGCGACGAUCCGUAGCUGGUCUGAGAGGACGACCAGCCACACUGGGACUGAGACACGGCCCAGACUCCUACGGGAGGCAGCAGUGGGGAAUUUUGGACAAUGGGCGCAACCCUGAUCCAGCCAUGCCGCGUGCGGGAAGAAGGCCUUCGGGUUGUAAACCGCUUUUGUUCGGGAAGAAAUCCUCUGGGCUAAUACCCCGGGGGGAUGACGGUACCGGAAGAAUAAGCACCGGCUAACUACGUG
rnacentral:rRNA from 1 species